GGCUGAAGUAGGUCCCAAGGGUAUGGCUGUUCGCCAUUUAAAGUGGUACGCGAGCUGGGUUUAGAACGUCGUGAGACAGUUCGGUCCCUAUCUGCCGUGGGCGCUGGAGAACUGAGGGGGGCUGCUCCUAGUACGAGAGGACCGGAGUGGACGCAUCACUGGUGUUCGGGUUGUCAUGCCAAUGGCACUGCCCGGUAGCUAAAUGCGGAAGAGAUAAGUGCUGAAAGCAUCUAAGCACGAAACUUGCCCCGAGAUGAGUUCUCCCUGACCUUUUAAGGGUCCUGAAGGAACGUUGAAGACGACGACGUUGAUAGGCCGGGUGUGUAAGCGCAGCGAUGCGUUGAGCUAACCGGUACUAAUGAACCGUGAGGCUUAACCUUACAACGCCGAAG
rnacentral:rRNA from 1 species